GAGGGUACGAUUUUCUUCAGCAUCAUAGCUCAGAGGAUGACCAGUUAUUUAGAGAGAAACAACCUUGUGGAUACAACAGUCCAAAAAGCAGGCAUCCCAGGGUUCUCUGGAUGUCUCGAACAUACCAGCAUGAUUUGGCACCAAAUCCAGACUGCAA